rnacentral:rRNA from 1 species
UACAGAGGUCUCAAGCGUUGUUCGGAUUCAUUGGGCGUAAAGGGUGCGUAGGUGGCAUGGUAAGUCGGAUGUGAAAUCCCGGGGCUCAACCCCGGAACUGCAUUCGAUACUGCUGAGCUAGAGUACUGGAGAGGAGAAUGGAAUUCCUGGUGUAGCGGUGAAAUGCGCAGAUAUCAGGAAGAACACCCGUGGCGAAGGCGGUUCUCUGGGACGGUACUGACGCUGAGACGCGAAAGCGUGGGGAGCGAACAGG